rnacentral:rRNA from 1 species
UAUACAGCGAAACUGCGAAUGGCUCAUUAUAUAAGUUAUCGUUUAUUUGAUAGUGCCUUACUACUUGGAUAACCGUGGUAAUUCUAGAGCUAAUACAUGCUAAAAACCCCGACUUCGGAAGGGGUGUAUUUAUUAGAUACAAAACCAAUGCCCUUCGGGGCUCUUUGGUGAUUCAUGAUAACUAUACGAAUCGCACGGCCUUGCGCCGGCGAUGGUUCAUUCAAAUUUCUUCCCUAUCAACUUUCGAUGUUUGGGUAUUGGCCAAACAUGGUUGCAACGGGUAACGGAGGGUUAGGGCUCGACCCCGGGGAAGGAGCCUGAGAAACGGCUACUACAUCCAAGGAAGGCAGCAGGCGCGCAAAUUACCCAAUCCCGACUCGGGGAGGUAGUGACAAUAAAUACUGAUACAGGGCCCUUUCGGGCCUUGUAAUUGGAAUGAGUACAAUUUAAAUCCCUUAACGAGGAACAAUUGGAGGGCAAGUCUGGUGCCAGCAGCCGCGGUAAUUCCAGCUCCAAUAGCGUAUAU